AGAACGAACGCUGGCGGCGUGGAUAAGACAUGCAAGUCGAGCGCUGAUUAAAGGGUAGCAAUAUCUUUUAAUUGGAGCGGCGCAAGGGUGCGUAACACGUGGGUAAUUUGCCAUGAAGUUGGGGAUAACUUGCUGAAAGGCGAGCUAAUACCGAAUGUGGCCCGACGGAGACAUCUCUGUUUGGCUAAAGCUGGGGACCGCAAGGCCUGACGCUUCAUGAUAAACCCGCGGCCUAUCAGCUAGUUGGUGAGGUAACGGCCCACCAAGGCUAAGACGGGUAGCUGGUCUGAGAGGACGACCAGCCACACUGGAACUGAGAGACGGUCCAGACACCUACGGGUGGCAGCAGUCGAGAAUUUUUCAC
rnacentral:rRNA from 1 species